CUGUCACGCGCACCUCGCCAGCAAGGAGCACGCAACACUCAGGAUUCUUCUGAAGCACGCUUUAUUGGAGGUUCUUCUGCAUUCUUCAAGAUGGCGGAAAGACCCCGAGCCGGAUGCAAGCCUGCCUUUUAUAGCCUCUCGGGUGACGUAGCCCAUUUCUAUUGGUCAAUGCCGGCCUGCGUCAUUCUGACGAACCAAGCGCCUCUUCUGCGCAGGCGUGAACCACCGUCACCGGCGGAUUCACCUCCGGAAUUCAUGCAGGGCAUGAAGAACCCGGAAAUAAUGGGGUGUGACAUCUAGCCACUUGGAGAGAAGUCUGAUCACCUACAUAAGAAACCUUACAAAGCAGGCAAGCCGCAGUCCUUUCACUCACCUGUGUACAUUUCUCUACUCAAGGCAGCUGGCAGCCUUUUAUGAAACCGAGGAGUCAUCUUAUCAUGAAAGCAAGUCCCUUCAAGGGGAGGAAGUUCGAGGGUUACUUGGCGGCUUCACUUAAAAAUGUGGAAACAUCAUCUAGAGUCCAGAAAAGAAAAGAGAAGAGAGGACAAAGAGAGUUACAAAUGCGAUUGCUCUGGGAACUGCAGUCAUCCAAGCCUGCGAAGUCUGCCCAGUGCAGCCCAGUGGAGCCAGUCCUCCUGGACGCAGAGCAGAGCUUCUCAUCCUGGUGCACAGGUUCCUCAUUCGAAGGACCCGCGAGAGAGGGCGUGAAACUGAACAAAGGAGAGGGCCACGGAAGGAUGAAGAACCAGUACCUGAGAGUACAGAGCUUUCCUUUGAAAUGUGUCGGGGUCCCUUACGGAACUAGAAGCUCCGAGUAAAUUCUGAAACCAACCUAAGAUAGCUGUGUUUGAUGGCAGACAUAUCCGUGGCCCGUUCCCAGUGUGGAACAAGGGGGUAACCUCUCCACCUACUUCUUGGAAUUGAUAGCAGUGUGAGUUGCUAGUAUCAACAGUAUCAGAUCCUAUACAUUGACAGGUCAUGAUCGG
rnacentral:lncRNA from 1 species